UUCUGUAAUUUUUGUUAUAGUGUUUCUGAACUCAAGUUCCUGUUACAACAACAACAUAAACGUACGACAAAACUGCGUAAAAAAGUAUUCCAAAAGUUCAAAGGAGGAUGCAAAGACACUUUGCUGCCGGAAUCUGGACAUUCAAAAGUGUCUCAAAAAGGAAAUGAAUGUGUGCCCUAAAAAUAACACAGAUUUCCAGAACGAAGUCAUCGAUGCUUAUACAAGCCCUCACAAUGUUCUCUGCGCUAACUACACCAAGCUCUGCAACAGUGCAUCUGUACAUAUUGCGUCAGCAAUAGUUUUGCUCCUCACUAUUAAAGUAACCUUUAUGAAUACUGUUCCAUGAAAGGAAGAAUGGGCAUUUCAUACACUGAGAACCGAUUAUCAAAGCAGCAAAUGCUAGAUAAGAAUUUAGUUUUUCUAGCAAAAAAUCGAACUAAUGAAUUAUACAUAAAAACAAAUGAAAUUCAAAUUGUUCCUGCUUAAUAAUGCGAAUUAAUUAUAUAUAUUAUUAGAUGACUGCAUUUAAAGGUCCAUAUAAAUUAUCUUUUCUUUUAUCUUCAUAUUAAUAUAUGUUCGAUCUUGCUGAAGAAAGAAGGAAGUAUGUAGGCAUAAUCAUUGUAAAUGUUAUAACUUUAAUUCAUUUUGAUUAUAAAUUGUUGUAAAAUUCAGAUCCUAAUGGUAAUUAAACUGUUGAUUUCGAACAAAACGUACAAACUAUCAUUUCGUUUUUCUUAAAAUUUCUGAAUGAAAUUCACUCGACCUUUCAGAUUUGGAAACUAAUAUUUUGCUAUUUUAUUCAAAGUAAAGUACUGCAUAUAUCUGAACACUUCAAAUAAAAGAAUAAGUUUAAGAAAAUAUAAGUUAAGAAAUUUCGCAGUAAAUGAUAUGCAUGAGGUAUGUCUUUUUUUAUUUUUGUACCUUGUACAUAUAUUAUUGUUUUGAAUUCAUCAGUUGUUCAGACACCUUUUUUUAACUUUGAUAAUGAAAUUAGAUUUUGAUGAUACUGGAAAAUAAAAGAUUUAUUGGAG